AUCCUUUCAUAGCUUAUGAGCAUGAUGAUUGGGUUUUCAUGCAUGUGUGUGAGAUGUACCACCCUGGAACCUUGUUAUGACAUUAGCACAUUAACUGUCUGACC
ensembl:snoRNA